rnacentral:rRNA from 1 species
GUGCCAGCAGCCGCGGUAAUACGGGAGGGGCGAGCGUUAUCCGUAAUGACUGGGCGUAAAGUGCUCGUAGAUUGUAAUAUAAGUUAAUUAUAAAAUUUUAAAGUAAUUACUUAAAAAAAUAAUUAAUACUGUAUUACUUUUGAGUUUUGUACAGAAAAGUUGUAUUUCAUAUCUAGGGAUAAGCCCCAAAAAGUUAUGAAAGAAAAUCAAUAGCGAAGGCAGCUUUUUGGUAAAAACUGACAUUGAGGAGCGAAAGUAUGGGGAGCAAACAGGAUUAGAGACCCUGGUAGUCCAUACUGUAAAUUAUGAGUGCUGUAAUUUAAAAAAUUUAUUUGUUAAUUUAAACAAAUUUUUUUAGAUUUUUAAGCUAACGCAAUAAGCACUCCGCCUGAGGAGUACGAUCGCAAGAUUGGAACUCAAAGGAAUUGACGGGAACCUACAACAAGUGGUGGAGCAUGUGGUUUAAUGCGAUAAUCCGCGCAAAACCUUACCAAGUCUUGAUAUAAUAAUAAAAUAUUUAAUGAUUUAAAAAAUUUUAAAUAUUUAAUAUGUUUACAGGUGUUGCACGACUGUCGUCAGUUCGUGCUGUAAAGUAUUUGGUUCAUUCCUUUUUACGAACGUAACUCUUAUUUUUAAUAAAGUUUGUUUUACUUUUUAAAGUAUAUAUUUUUAUUAAAAAAACGGUCUAUGAUAAAUAGAAGGAAGACAAGAAUUAAGUCAAGUCCCUGUGGCCCUUAUGAUUUGGGCUACACACGUGCUACAAUG